GCCUCCAGGGACAGGAAAACCGCAGCUCAAGUCAUCUGCAGGAUGAACCCUUCCCUGGGGUGGGCCAUCUCCUAGAGGCGCCCCAGGACAGAAGGAGCAACAGUUUGGUCUUCUGUUGCUUAAACAGAAAGUUCAGUCCACUCAUUGAGGAAACCAAAGACUAUGUUUGUCAUGUUACCAGCCAGACCCUGCAGGACCAGACAGAUGUCACAUCCAGAGAAGGUGCUCAAGAAAUAGUUUUUGAAAUUAAAAAAAAAGCAAAUCCAAAUUAUAACGGAAGCUCCUAGCUCUGUGACACUAGCAUCACGUCAGUCAUCAUGCUCAUUGUCAUCAAAUGAAGCUCAGAACCGCUAAUAGAAAACCAGUUCAAGGAGACAGAAAGCCCUAAAGCAGGAAGAGACAGAGAGACUGUGGAGGCCAGGGCCCUGCGGCUGGCUAAUGGAGGUGGGGCCUAAUGACACAGGAGGUAACAGAGUCCUUGACACUCUCCCAGGGAAGAGAGGAGGGCUGAUCCAGAAGGAAGCCCAAAACCUGCCCCUUUCCUGGUCGAGAUGGCCCAGCCCAAUCUCUGGACAGUCCCCAGGCCCUGGCUCACCUUCCCAGAGAUCCACAGUUUGGAAGAUGUCAGUGGUGUUGAUGCCAUAGCGCUCAGCUGCCUGCAGGAACUGAGAGAUCUGCUCCAUCUGCUUGAAGGCCAUGGUGGAGGCCUGGAUCUUCUUCACUGGGGCCUGCCCCUCGGGGUACAGUCCAUUGAUGAGCUCACAUAGCACCUGGGUGAGGACAGCAUGAACAGAGGUGAUGCCCACUGCACAUCAGUGUCACAAUCCUCAGCACCAGGCCUAGUGGCCCAAAGAGGCGUCUUCGCCACAGUGAGCUUCAGAGAUUCCUUCCCCUUCUGAGCCCCAGAGCAAAAAGGCAGUAUAUAGUUUCCCCUUGCUCUUCCAGUAUCCUUUGGAGAGUCCACCUCCCACAUUGUUUCCUUGGAGCUAUUUUUUGUUGUUGUUACGUGCAACCUGCCUACUGUGUUACCUUGGUUCGGGUAGAGGGGCGCAUGUUCACCUUACCUUCCCUUCCAGAGAGAAGGAAAGUAUGGGACUUCGCCUAUCCUUGAUAAAAAAACACUCAGUCUGAGGAAGAGGCUGUGCCCACAUGGUCUCGGUCUUCAGACUAAACAAUGCCUGGCUCCCUGGGCCCAACCCUGCCCUUCCUGGCCGUCCAGUGCAGUGGCGGCCCGCCUCUCACCGUGCCAUCCUUGAGCCAGUUCUGGAAGUUCUCACGGCCUGGCUGGGGCCGGCCCACAUCCUUGCGGCACUGGGUGGUGAUCCACUGGACCAGGAUCUGCUCCAGGUCGGCAUCAUACUGCUUUUCAAUCUUCUGCUGCACCUCUCGGCUCAGGCCAUACGCAGGUCCCCUGUUGGCCAUUCUGAAUACCUGUGGUGGCUGUGGGGAGCUGGGCAGAGGACACAAGCAGGCCUGUGGUCAACCAAACAGUAUUCGGCCUGCAGAGACUCACACUAUAUCCUCCACUGUGGGUCCCAAGGUGAGAAGCAGAACUGCUGCUGCUGGAUGCAGUUUUUAACUGACCCAUAGGUAAGGGCUAAACCAACACUGCCCAGAACUCUGGAUUCUCUCACUCUGUGACAUGCAGUCUGUCUUUCCUCUUGAGGGUCCUCACUAAACUGCAUUUCAACAAAUGCUUCUACUACUAGGAUGAAGCACUGAACUAGAAUACAGAAUAAAUGAUUGGGGUUCUGCUCUCCA